AUUGAACGCUGGCGGCAGGCCUAACACAUGCAAGUCGAACGGUAACAGGAAGCAGCUUGCUGCUUUGCUGACGAGUGGCGGACGGGUGAGUAAUGUCUGGGAAACUGCCUGAUGGAGGGGGAUAACUACUGGAAACGGUAGCUAAUACCGCAUAACGUCGCAAGACCAAAGAGGGGGACCUUCGGGCCUCUUGCCAUCGGAUGUGCCCAGAUGGGAUUAGCUAGUAGGUGGGGUAACGGCUCACCUAGGCGACGAUCCCUAGCUGGUCUGAGAGGAUGACCAGCCACACUGGAACUGAGACACGGUCCAGACUCCUACGGGAGGCAGCAGUGGGGAAUAUUGCACAAUGGGCGCAAGCCUGAUGCAGCCAUGCCGCGUGUAUGAAGAAGGCCUUCGGGUUGUAAAGUACUUUCAGCGGGGAGGAAGGGAGUAAAGUUAAUACCUUUGCUGAUUGACGUUACCCGCAGAAGAAGCACCGGCUAACUCCGUG
rnacentral:rRNA from 1 species